UACGUAGGUGGCAAGCGUUGUCCGGAUUUAUUGGGCGUAAAGCGCGCGCAGGCGGUUCUUUAAGUCUGAUGUGAAAGCCCCCGGCUCAACCGGGGAUGGUCAUUGGAAACUGGGGAACUUGAGUGCAGAAGAGAAGAGCGGAAUUCCACGUGUAGCGGUGAAAUGCGUAGAGAUGUGGAGGAACACCAGUGGCGAAGGCGGCUCUUUGGUCUGUAACUGACGCUGAGGCGCGAAAGCGUGGGGAGCAAAAGGG
rnacentral:rRNA from 1 species